rnacentral:rRNA from 1 species
AUACUGAGGGUGCAAGCGUUAAUCGGAAUUACUGGGCGUAAAGCGCACGUAGGCGGUUUAUUAAGUCAGAUGUGAAAGCCCUGGGCUUAACCUGGGAACUGCAUUUGAGACUGGUAGGCUAGAGUAUGGUAGAGGAUAGUGGAAUUCCGGGUGUAGCGGUGAAAUGCGUAGAUAUCCGGAGGAACAUCAGUGGCGAAGGCGGCUAUCUGGACCAAUACUGACGCUGAGGUGCGAAAGUGUGGGGAGCAAACAGGAUUAGAAACCCUAGUAGUCC